rnacentral:rRNA from 1 species
GUGGGGAAUAUUGCACAAUGGGCGCAAGCCUGAUGCAGCAACGCCGCGUGAGGGAUGACGGCCUUCGGGUUGUAAAGCUCUUUAGUCCACGAAUAUAAUGACUGUAGUGGAAGAAUAAGCCCCGGCUAACUUCGUGCCAGCAGCCGCGGUAAUACGAAGGGGGCGAGCGUUGUUCGGAAUUACUGGGCGUAAAGCGCACGUAGGCGGUUACUCAAGUCAGAGGUGAAAGCCCGGGGCUCAACCCCGGAACUGCCUUUGAAACUAGGUAACUAGAAUCUUGGAGAGGUCAGUGGAAUUCCGAGUGUAGAGGUGAAAUUCGUAGAUAUUCGGAAGAACACCAGUGGCGAAAGCGACUGACUGGACAAGUAUUGACGCUGAGGUGCGAAAGCGUGGGGAGCAAACAGGAUUAGAAACCCUAGUAGUCC